rnacentral:rRNA from 1 species
GAUGAACGCUAGCGGCAGGCUUAACACAUGCAAGUCGAGGGGCAGCACGGUGUAGCAAUACAUUGGUGGCGACCGGCGCACGGGUGCGUAACGCGUAUACAAUUUGCCUUAUACUGGGAGAUAGCCCGGAGAAAUUCGGAUUAAUAUCCCAUAAUAAUUUUGGUCCGCAUGGAUUGAUUUUUUAAGCUACGGCGGUAUAAGAUGAGUAUGCGUCUGAUUAGCUAGUUGGUAAGGUAACGGCUUACCAAGGCAACGAUCAGUAGGGGGCCUGAGAGGGUUAUCCCCCACACUGGAACUGAGACACGGUCCAGACUCCUACGGGAGGCAGCAGUGAGGAAUAUUGGUCAAUGGAGGCAACUCUGAACCAGCCAUGCCGCGUGUAGGAAGAAGGCCCUAUGGGUUGUAAACUACUUUUAUUGGGGAAGAAACCCUCUUACGUGUAAGAGGCUGACGGUACCCAAGGAAUAAGGACCGGCUAACUCCGUGCCAGCAGCCGCGGUAAA